rnacentral:lncRNA from 1 species
AAGAUGUGGCCAACUGGCUAGCAUAGGCCAUUUGCCACCCUGGUGUAAAUGUGCUUCCUUCUUAUGACAUUAGCAUUUAGAUUUGGUAUUUGGAGUAUCCUGAUGUCAUUGAGCCUUUUCAUACUCACUCUUUAUUAGAACAUGUUCUCUUUCCUCUCUAUUGUGGAGAGAUAAUAUUGCAGCGUUCUGAAUAAUAGCAGGACAGUCACUGUUGUCCAUGGCAACAAGGCUGCGUUGCAAUGCUCCAUUUGGUAAAUAAAGUUCGAAUGGUGAGGGUGUGGGCAAGAACUCAUUGUAACCUGGAGGGACGGCUGGGUGAGGGUGAGCCCAGGCAGUUGUACAGUGACAUUAGAACCAGGUCCACUCAACUCCAAUGUCCACAACACCCCACUAUGUCAUGAGCCAAGAUGUUUUAAUGAGCAUGACAUCUUUUGUCUCUGCCUCUCCUGCAAGCUCCAAAGUUCUAAAUAAUGUGGGGGUUUUCAAAGGAAGCUGGCUUCAUGUCCAGUUCUCAUUAAGGCUUGG